rnacentral:rRNA from 1 species
UACGAAGGGGGCGAGCGUUGUUCGGAUUUACUGGGCGUAAAGGGCGCGUAGGCGGCCCUCCUUGUCGCGUGUGAAAGCCCCGGGCUCAACCUGGGGAAUUGCGCGCGAAACGGGGGGGGCUUGAGUUCGGGGAGAGGAGCGUGGAAUUCCCAGUGUAGAGGUGAAAUUCGUAGAUAUUGGGAAGAACACCAGUGGCGAAGGCGGCUCACUGGACCGGUACUGACGCUGAUGCGCGAAAGCGUGGGGAGCAAACGGG